UCCUGUGUAAAUAAUUGUAAUUUAAAUAAUUUAAAUUAAACACAAAAACCACGCAAAACUAAUAAGAUAAGCAAGCUGAGGGCAUUUCGCGCGUGUUUACCAAGUCAUUAAGUGCAUGUUUUGUGUAUAUUUUCAUCAUUAAAACGCCGUGUAAAUUAAAAUCAUCCUAAUUAUAAUUCAAAUUCAAACAACCCCAACAACAACAACUUCAAACAUAAAAUCAACAACAAAAAAUUUCAAUCGAUCUGUAAAAAAUAAUAUAUAUGAAAUUUGUAAUUUUUUAACCAGUUCUCAUACGUAUAUAUUGAAUGCAUUACAAAGAAAAAAGUUAAUUUGUUUGGUACCACUGUGUAAAGUAUUAUUCAUAAUUUGUGUUAAAUAGUGUACAUUUUUGUAAAAAAAAAAAAAACCAAACCAAACCAAACGUGCAAGUUUUUUUUCGAGUGUAAACAAAUACAAACGAUAAAUGUAAUUAAAUAUCUCAAAUCACUGUAAAUUAAUAUUUAAUAUUAAGAAAGAGCAAAGUGUGGUUUUCUAUGCAUGUAUAAAACAACAACAACAACAACAAC